UACGUAGGGUGCGAGCGUUGUCCGGAAUUAUUGGGUCGUAAAGAGCUUGUAGGCGGUCUGUCGCGUCUGCUGUGAAAAUCCGGGGCUCAACCCCGGACUUGCAGUGGGUACGGGCAGACUAGAGUGUGGUAGGGGAGACUGGAAUUCCUGGUGUAGCGGUGAAAUGCGCAGAUAUCAGGAGGAACACCGAUGGCGAAGGCAGGUCUCUGGGCCACUACUGACGCUGAGAAGCGAAAGCAUGGGGAGCGAACAGG
rnacentral:rRNA from 1 species